rnacentral:rRNA from 1 species
UACAGAGGUCUCAAGCGUUGUCCGGAAUCAUUGGGCGUAAAGAGCGUGUAGGCGGUCCGGUAAGUCCGCUGUGAAAAGUCGGGGGGCUCAACCCUCGAAUGCCGGUGGAUACUGUCGGGCUAGAGUGCGGAAGAGGCGAGUGGAAUUCCUGGUGUAGCGGUGAAAUGCGCAGAGAUCGGGAGGAACACCCGUAGCGAAGGCGGCACUCUGGGCCGUGACUGACGCUGAGGAGCGAAAGCGUGGGGAGCAAACAGGG